ACUCAAAGGAAUAGACGGGGGCCCGCACAAGCGGUGGAGCAUGUGGUUUAAUUCGAUGCAACGCGAAGAACCUUACCUACCCUUGACAUACAGUGGAUUUAGCAGAGAUGUUGAAGUGCCUUCGGGAACACUGAUACAGGUGCUGCAUGGCUGUCGUCAGCUCGUGUCGUGAGAUGUUGGGUUAAGUCCCGUAACGAGCGCAACCCUUAUCCUUAGUUACCAGCGUGUAGAGACGGGGACUCUAGGGAGACUGCCGGUGACAAACCGGAGGAAGGCGGGGAUGACGUCAAGUCAUCAUGGCCCAUACGGGUAGGGCUACACACGUGCUACAAUGGCUAAUACAGAGGGGAGCGAAGGGGCGACCUGGAGCGAAUCUUACAAAGUUAGUCGUAGUCCGGAUUGGAGUCUGCAACUCGACUUCAUGAAGUCGGAAUCGCUAGUAAUCGCGAAUCAGCAUGUCGCGGUGAAUACGUUCCCGGGCCUUGCACACACCGCCCGU
rnacentral:rRNA from 1 species